rnacentral:rRNA from 1 species
UACGUAGGGUGCGAGCGUUAAUCGGAAUUACUGGGCGUAAAGCGUGCGCAGGCGGUUCGUUAUGUCCGAUGUGAAAGCCCCGAGCUUAACUUGGGAAUGGCAUUGGAAACUGGCGGGCUGGAGUGCGGCAGAGGGGGGUGGAAUUCCACAUGUAGCAGUGAAAUGCGUAGAGAUGUGGAGGAACACCGAUGGCGAAGGCAGCCCCCUGGGCCGACACUGACGCUCAGGCACGAAAGCGUGGGGAGCAAACAGG